rnacentral:tRNA from 1 species
UCCCGGGUGGCUCAGUGGUAAAGAAUUUGCCUGCAAUGCAGGAGACCCAGGUUCAAUCCCUGGGUUGGGAA